AAGAGGGGCGGUGGGGAGCAAAACUCCAGGAAGGGAUGACCAUGGUCCUGUUGCACCCCUAUGACCACAACACCACACUAGAGUCCAGAGCAGGGGUCCUCAAACUUCUUAAGUGGGGGGGGGGGGCUGGACUAGGAUGAAAUAGUCCAAAAUUAGGAUUGUUGUUGUGUGCCUUCAAGUCAUUUCAGACUUUGGUCAACCCUAACAUAAGACCAUAGGUAAACAAAGAGACCUCCAAAGAUCAUCUAGAUGGUCUCAUAUGACCAUCAGUAAGGAAAGGGACCCUCAAAGGCCAUCUAGAUGAUCUCAUAAAACCAUAGAUAAGGAAAGGGAUCCUCAAAGGCCAUCUAGAUGGUCCAACAAGGCCAUAGCUAAGCAAAGAGACCUUCAAAGACCAUCUAGAUGGUCUCAUCGGGCCAUCAGAAGACCGUAGGUAAGGAAAGGGACCUCAAAGACCAUCCAGAUGGUCUCAUAAGACCAUCGGUAAGGAAAGAGACCUCUAAAGACCAUCUAGAUGAUCUCAUAAGACCAUCGGUAAGGAAAGGGACCCUCAAAGGCCAUCUAGAUGAUCUCAUAAAACCAUAGAUAAGGAAAGGGAUCCUCAAAGGCCAUCUAGAUGGUCUAACAAGGCCAUAGCUAAGCAAAGAGACCUUCAAAGACCAUCUAGAUGGUCUCAUCAGGCCAUCAGAAGACCAUAGGUAAGGAAAGGGACCUCAAAGACCAUCCAGAUGGUCUCAUAAGACCAUCGGUAAGGAAAGAGACCUCUAAAGACCAUCUAGAUGGUCUCAUAAGACCAUCGGUAAGGAAAGGGACCCUCAAAGGCCAUCUAGAUGAUCUCAUAAAACCAUAGAUAAGGAAAGGGAUCCUCAAAGGCCAUCUAGAUGGUCUAACAAGGCCAUAGCUAAGCAGAGACCUUCAAAGACCAUCUAGAUGGUCUCAUCAGGCCAUCAGAAGACCAUAGGUAAGGAAAGGGACCUCAAAGACCAUCCAGAUGGUCUCAUAAGACCAUCGGUAAGGAAAGAGACCUCUAAAGACCAUCUAGAUGGUCUCAUAAGACCAUCGGUAAGGAAAGGGACCCUCAAAGGCCAUCUAGAUGAUCUCAUAAAACCAUAGAUAAGGAAAGGGAUCCUCAAAGGCCAUCUAGAUGGUCUAACAAGGCCAUAGCUAAGCAAAGAGACCUUCAAAGACCAUCUAGAUGGUCUCAUCAGGCCAUCAGAAGACCAUAGGUAAGGAAAGGGACCUCAAAGACCAUCCAGAUGGUCUCAUAAGACCAUCGGUAAGGAAAGAGACCUCUAAAGACCAUCCAGAUGGUCUCAUAAGACCAUCAGUAAGGAAAGGGACCCUCAAAGGCCAUCUAGAUGAUCUCAUAAAACCAUAGAUAAGGAAAGGGAUCCUCAAAGGCCAUCUAGAUGGUCUAACAAGGCCAUAGCUAAGCAGAGACCUUCAAAGACCAUCUAGAUGGUCUCAUCAGGCCAUCAGAAGACCAUAGGUAAGGAAAGGGACCUCAAAGACCAUCCAGAUGGUCUCAUAAGACCAUCGGUAAGGAAAGGGACCCUCAAAGGCUAUCUAGAUGAUCUCAUAAGACCAUCGGUAAGGAAAGGGACCCUCAAAGGCCAUCUAGAUGAUCUCAUAAAACCAUAGAUAAGGAAAGGGAUCCUCAAAGGCCAUCUAGAUGGUCUAACAAGGCCAUAGCUAAGCAGAGACCUUCAAAGACCAUCUAGAUGGUCUCAUCAGGCCAUCAGAAGACCAUAGGUAAGGAAAGGGACCUCAAAGACCAUCCAGAUGGUCUCAUAAGACCAUCGGUAAGGAAAGGGACCCUCAAAGGCUAUCUAGAUGAUCUCAUAAGACCAUCGGUAAGGAAAGGGACCCUCAAAGGCCAUCUAGAUGAUCUCAUAAAACCAUAGAUAAGGAAAGGGAUCCUCAAAGGCCAUCUAGAUGGUCUAACAAGGCCAUAGCUAAGCAGAGACCUUCAAAGACCAUCUAGAUGGUCUCAUCAGGCCAUCAGAAGACCAUAGGUAAGGAAAGGGACCUCAAAGACCAUCCAGAUGGUCUCAUAAGACCAUCGGUAAGGAAAGGGACCCUCAAAGGCUAUCUAGAUGAUCUCAUCAGGCCAUCAGAAGACCAUAAAUAAGGAAAGGGACCUCAAAGACCACCUAGAUGGUCUCAUAAGACCAUAGGUAAGGAAAGAGACCUCUAAAGACCAUCUAGAUGGUCUCAUAAGACCAUCGGUAAGGAAAGGGACCCUCAAAGGCUAUCUAGACGAUCUCAUCAGGCCAUCAGAAGACCAUAAAUAAGGAAAGGGACCUCAAAGACCACCUAGAUGGUCUCAUAAGACCAUAGGUAAGGAAAGGGACCUCAAAGGCCACCUAGAUGGUUGCAUAAUUUCCAUGGAGUAAACAACAAAACCAGUGGACCAAAUCACACCAAAUUUGGCCACAAAAUACAUAGUCACCCAAUCAUUCUGCAUGCGGCAGCGUGGCAGCAAAAAUGGCUA